CCAUCGAGCCACGAGAGCACGUGGCUGUGCCAAACCACGAAAGGAGCAAUCGGCAGCUGUGGCUUGUGGCCAUGCCUGGGUUGUGGGUGUAGCAAUGCAUGGGUCAUUGCCAUCUUAUCUCUGUUUUAGCGCCUCCUGGGAUAAGUAAGAAAUGAGCUGACUGCAUUGGAAGGUAGGCCAUGUAAAUCAAAUGCAGCGAACAAUUUUCUGCAUUUUCUUGCAUUCAGAAAUAUGCAGAAUCAAGAAAAGAGAUCUGCGUUCUCGAUGAAAGGAAAUGGCUCCAACUUUGGCUGUGCUGCUACAUCCAGGAUUUCUUCGAUUGGUAUCUCUGGGUUUGAUCUUUCCACAGGUGCAACUGGAUCAAUAUUUGCGUUGUAAUCCUGAAAUAUUUUUUGUAUUUCUGUCAGUACGUAGCUCCAAACACAAAUAUGUCCAGUUAUGAAUGUCUUGAUUUUCAA